ensembl:lincRNA
AUGUCAUUAUCCUCUGGAGAAGCAACUGGCAACCCACUCCAGUAUUCUUGCCUGGAGAAUCACAUGGAUAAAGGAGCCUGGAGGGCUACAGGCUAUGAGGAUCGCAAAAAGUCAGAAACGACAAGCCGACUAACACUGACUGUAACUAUGACGAACACCGAUGCAGAACCUCCUGCCAACCAUAACCUUUUCUCACAUGGGCCUCACACUCGCCCCUCAGAAUGCCAAUGCCAUUCCCCUGGCAUGGGAGCCGUGGAUGGAUACAGUACCUGCCGUGUUGGAUACAGUACCUGCCGUGAUGUCGCAGGGAUUUGGAGGCCUUUGGGACAGAGCGAAGACUUUGGACGCCCACUCAGGAUAAAGCCACCACGCCAGGACGCUGUUGAGAGGAGACUCAGAGCCUGAGUUCACCAAGGACAAACCCUGAGCAGAUAACAGUGACUUCUUCUGGGGAGGGCUGUAGCACUGGGGGCCUCAGGGGAGGAUUUUCCUUGUUGCUCCCUGUAUUUUGGUAUGAUGUGACCUUUUCUGGUGAGAAUGUAUCUAAAUAUUAAUUUUGUAUGAAAUAAAAGUUUUUCAAAGAAAGGCUCUGGUAUUCUGGGGUUUCAGAUCCCUUUGAACAGCUUAUGAAAACUAUGGGCUGGUUCUCCCCCGUCCUGCCCACCAUGUGCAUACCCAGCUCGGAGGGAGGACCAGACUCCUGACCCUGGAGCUGAGCCAGCUCCUUCCCGUGUAGAAGCCCACCUGCCGCCACCAGCUGGGCCACUGGGAUGUCCUCGCCCCUGUCCCCACUCCUUACCUGCGCAUGUGCAUGCAUGUUAAGUCGCUUCAGUCGUGUUCGACUCUUUGCAACCCUAUGGCCUGUAGCCUGCUGGCUCCUCUGUCCAUGGGAUUCUCCAGGCAAGAAAGAGUACUGGAGUGGGUUGCCAUGCCCUCCUCCAGGGGAUCUUCCUGACCCAGGGAUUGAACCAGCAUCUCUUUAUGUCUCCUGUAUUGGCAAGUGUGUUCUUUACCACAGGAGCCACCUGGAAAACCCUACUUCUUACCCAGUCCCCCCACAAAUUCUAGACUGACUCUUCUUGGGGUCACUGUUUCUCUAACUAGAGGCAUCAGAAUCACCUCCUGUUAUUCUUUCAGCCACUGCUCCAGGUGAAGAGCAUUCACUGUGCCUUUCGGACUUCACCUAGAUCCAGAGAUGGAAUUCACCCUGGAACAGUGCUCAUCCCCUCUCCAGUACCCCUGGGAAUCACUUGGGAUUAGGGAGAAUGGGAAACCAUCUCCUCUUAAGAGUCAGGAUGAUGAGAUGGGUGGCAUUGAAGACUGUGAUGGUCUCAGCUGGAAAAGACCCUGGAGGAUCAUCCCACCCCAGUCAGGGACUGAGGAUCCAGAGGUGAGGGUGGCUUUUCCCAAGUACCCCACUGUCCUCUGAGCCCUGUCCCUGGGCCUGGGCCUCCCCUCUGCACUGAGACAGAAUUGGGCUACAAGGGGGAAGGCAAGAGGGGUGCAGGGUAGGGGCUCUCUUCCAGGCUCUGCGGAUCUUGCCUCACUCUCAUCUCAAGGGACUCGAUUGAGUGAACCAGGUGUCCCUGUCACCUGACCCAGAAACUGGCAUGGAGUCGGGAAGGGAAGAAAGGCAGCAGGAAGCUCAGCCCCACCCCCCUGUGAGGAGGCAGCACUGUGAAGGAGGGAAAGGUGUGCUGAGGUCUGUUUCCACUUCCUCGGCAUCUUCCUUUCCAGCUAGUUCUGUUCUG